AUUGAACGCUGGCGGCAUGCCUUACACAUGCAAGUCGAACGGUAGAGGGGGCAACCUCUCGAGAGUGGCGAACGGGUGAGUAAAGCAUCGGAACGUGCCCAGUAGUGGGGGAUAGCCCGGCGAAAGCCGGAUUAAUACCGCAUGAGACCUACGGGUGAAAGGGGGGGAUCGCAAGACCUCUCGCUAUUGGAGCGGCCGAUGUCUGAUUAGGUAGUUGGUGGGGUAAAGGCCUACCAAGCCGACGAUCUGUAGCUGGUCUGAGAGGACGACCAGCCACACUGGGACUGAGACACGGCCCAGACUCCUACGGGAGGCAGCAGUGGGGAAUUUUGGACAAUGGGCGAAAGCCUGAUCCAGCCAUGCCGCGUGCGGGAAGAAGGCCUUCGGGUUGUAAACCGCUUUUGUCAGGGAAGAAAUCCUUUGAGUUAAUACCUCGGGGGGAUGACGGUACCUGAAGAAUAAGCACCGGCUAACUACGUGCCAGCCGCCGCGGUAA
rnacentral:rRNA from 1 species